GAUGAACACUGGCGGCGUGCCUAAUACAUGCAAGUCGAGCGAACAGACGAGGAGCUUGCUCCUCUGACGUUAGCGGCGGACGGGUGAGUAACACGUGGAUAACCUACCUAUAAGACUGGGAUAACUUCGGGAAACCGGAGCUAAUACCGGAUAAUAUAUUGAACCGCAUGGUUCAAUAGUGAAAGACGGUUUUGCUGUCACUUAUAGAUGGAUCCGCGCCGCAUUAGCUAGUUGGUAAGGUAACGGCUUACCAAGGCAACGAUGCGUAGCCGACCUGAGAGGGUGAUCGGACACACUGGAACUGAGACACGGUCCAGACUCCUACGGGAGGCAGCAGUAGGGAAUCUUCCGCAAUGGGCGAAAGCCUGACGGAGCAACGCCGCGUGAGUGAUGAAGGUCUUCGGAUCGUAAAACUCUGUUAUUAGGGAAGAACAAAUGUGUAAGUAACUAUGCACGUCUUGACGGUACCUAAUCAGAAGGCCACGGCUAACUACGUG
rnacentral:rRNA from 1 species